rnacentral:lncRNA from 1 species
CUGGAGAACAUCGACUUCAAGAUGGCAGCUGAGGAAGAGAAACGUUUACGACAUGAUGUGAUGGCUCACGUGCACACAUUUGGCCACUGCUGUCCAAAAGCUGCAGGCAUUAUUCACCUUGGUGCUACUUCUUGCUAUGUUGGAGACAAUACUGCCUGCACAGCUGACCACAGUUGGGAAACGUUGCUGUCUUUGGAUUCAGGAUCUUUGCAUGGAUCUCCAGAACUUGAAGCGUGUCCGAGAUGACCUGCGCUUCCGGGGAGUAAAGGGUACCACUGGCACUCAGGCCAGUUUCCUGCAGCUCUUUGAGGGAGAUGACCAUAAGGUAUUCUGAAAGUGACCUGCAGGACACAGAAACUCAAUGGUGGAGCCUAAGAGACAAGGCUGCCUUUGAGGAUGAUAGGAGAGAUUGACUGUGGGAUGGGUGGGGUCUUUCGACUAGAAGGAAGUUGUGGGGGUUAGGGAGCGAGACCUGGGUAGGAUGACAGGUUGAGGCAUUCUCACACUGGACACAUGGAUUAUUAUAAGGAUGUGUCUUUUCUUUCCAAGGUAGAGCAGCUUGACAAGAUGGUGACAGAAAAGGCAGGAUUUA